rnacentral:rRNA from 1 species
GACAGAGGGUGCAAACGUUGCUCGGAAUUACUGGGCGUAAAGCGCGUGUAGGCGGGUCGGUGUGUCGGGUGUGAAAUCCCCAGGCUCAACCUGGGAACUGCAUUCGAAACUGCCUUGCUCGAGUAUGGGAGAGGGGAGUGGAAUUUCCGGUGUAGCGGUGAAAUGCGUAGAUAUCGGAAGGAACAUCAGUGGCGAAGGCGACUUCCUGGACCAAUACUGACGCUCAGGUGCGAAAGCGUGGGGAGCAAACAGG